rnacentral:misc_RNA from 1 species
AACGGUCUAUACCUGCGGUACCUGCGGAAGGAUCAUUAACAAAUCCAAUAAUUGCAGGAGAACACUUGUUCUUUUUGCAAAUAUUAAUCCGCUGGCCGCUAUUUAUAGCAGCUGGCUGUGAUAUAAAUGCGUGUUAUGUUGACAGUGUGUGUAUAAAUUAAUAUUGACAACUUUCAACAACGGAUCUCU